rnacentral:misc_RNA from 1 species
AAGGAGUCUAACAUGCAUGGGAGUGUUUGGGGGGAAAACCCGAGCGCGUAAUGAAAGUGAAAGUUGGGAUCCCUGUCGUGGGGAGCACCGACGCCCAUACCAGACCUUCUGUGACGGAUAUGCGGUAGAGCAUGUAUGUUGGGACCCGAAAGGUGGUGAACUAUGCCUGAAUAGGGUGAAGCCAGAGGAAACUCUGGUGGAGGCUCGUAGCGAUUCUGACGUGCAAAUCGAUCGUCAAAUUUGGGUAUAGGUGCGAAAGACUAAUCGAACCAUCUAGUAGCUGGUUCCUGC